UACGUAGGGGGCAAGCGUUGUCCGGAAUCAUUGGGCGUAAAGAGCGUGUAGGCGGCGAGAUAAGUCCGCUGUGAAAUCUCGAGGCUCAACUUCGAGCUGUCGGUGGAAACUGUCUGGCUAGAGUCCGGAAGAGGAGAAUGGAAUUCCUGGUGUAGCGGUGAAAUGCGCAGAUAUCAGGAAGAACACCCGUGGCGAAGGCGGUUCUCUGGGACGGUACUGACGCUGAGACGCGAAAGCGUGGGGAGCGAACAGG
rnacentral:rRNA from 1 species